rnacentral:rRNA from 1 species
GACGAACGCUGGCGGCGUGCCUAAUACAUGCAAGUCGAGCGGAACUGGGGGAGCUUGCUCCUUCCAGUUUAGCGGCGGACGGGUGAGUAACACGUGGGCAACCUGCCCUGCAGAUCGGGAUAACUCCGGGAAACCGGUGCUAAUACCGAAUAGUUUGGCGCCUCUCCUGAGGCGCUACGGAAAGACGGUUUCGGCUGUCACUGCAGGAUGGGCCCGCGGCGCAUUAGCUAGUUGGUGGGGUAACGGCCCACCAAGGCGACGAUGCGUAGCCGACCUGAGAGGGUGACCGGCCACACUGGGACUGAGACACGGCCCAGACUCCUGCGGGAGGCAGCAGUAGGGAAUCUUCCGCAAUGGACGCAAGUCUGACGGAGCGACGCCGCGUGAGUGACGAAGGUUUUCGGAUCGUAAAACUCUGUUGUGAGGGAAGAACACGUACCAACUAACUAUUGGUACCUUGACGGUACCUCGCCAGAAAGCCACGGCUAACUACGUGCCAGCAGCCGCCGUAA